AUCGUAUCUCCUAUCAUAAGAAAGCGCUCUUAGUUCAGUUCGGUAGAACGCGGGUCUCCAAAACCCGAUGUCGU
rnacentral:tRNA from 2 species